AACGCACGAGACCUGCGGACCUGCGGAAGGAUCAUUAAUGUGAUGGAUGUGCUAGUCUUGACCUCUUAAUCCUCCUUCAAUUUAUUGUUAGGUGGGGGCCUGACGGCUCAAGGGGAAAGGAAAUAAGAACCCGUUCGGGUGUGCACUCCGAUACAAUCCAAUUUUCUCUUAUACCUUGUGCAUCUUUGCCUGCUGAGCAUGAAGGGAAUGUUGAAGCAACAUUCUUGAUUGAUCAUGUAG
rnacentral:misc_RNA from 1 species